rnacentral:rRNA from 1 species
AGUGAACGCUGGCGGUAGGCCUAACACAUGCAAGUCGAACGGCAGCACAGUAAGAGCUUGCUCUUACGGGUGGCGAGUGGCGGACGGGUGAGGAAUACAUCGGAAUCUACUUUUUCGUGGGGGAUAACGUAGGGAAACUUACGCUAAUACCGCAUACGACCUACGGGUGAAAGCAGGGGAUCUUCGGACCCUGCGCGAUUGAAUGAGCCGAUGUCGGAUUAGCUAGUUGGCGGGGUAAAGGCCCACCAAGGCGACGAUCCGUAGCUGGUCUGAGAGGAUGAUCAGCCACACUGGAACUGAGACACGGUCCAGACUCCUACGGGAGGCAGCAGUGGGGAAUAUUGGACAAUGGGCGCAAGCCUGAUCCAGCCAUACCACGUGGGUGAAGAAGGCCUUCGGGUUGUAAAGCCCUUUUGUUGGGAAAGAAAAGCAGCAGGUUAAUACCCCGCUGUUCUGACGGUACCCAAAGAAUAAGCACCGGCUAACUUCGUG